UACGAGUGGUGCAAACGUUAUUCGGAUUUAUUGGGCGUAAAGGGCGCGUAGGUGGCGUAUUAAGUCAACUGUUAAAUUCUCCGGCCUAACUGGAGGUCAGCAGUAGAUACUGAUAUGCUAGAGGAUGAGAGAGAGAAGUGGAAUUCUCGGAGUAGCGGUAAAAUGCGUAGAUAUCGAGAGGAACACCAAUGGCGAAGGCAGCUUCUUGGCUCAUUCCUGACACUGAGGCGCGAAAGCGUGGGGAGCAAACAGG
rnacentral:rRNA from 1 species